rnacentral:rRNA from 1 species
UACGAAGGGGGCUAGCGUUGCUCGGAAUCACUGGGCGUAAAGCGCACGUAGGCGGCUUUCUAAGUCAGGGGUGAAAUCCUGGAGCUCAACUCCAGAACUGCCUUUGAUACUGGAGAGCUUGAGUCCGGAAGAGGUGAGUGGAACUCCGAGUGUAGAGGUGAAAUUCGUAGAUAUUCGGAAGAACACCAGUGGCGAAGGCGGCUUCUUGGCCUGUUCUUGACGCUGAGGCGCGAAAGCUGGGGGAGCAAACGGG